rnacentral:rRNA from 1 species
UGCAGUCGAACGCUGAAGCACCAGCUUGCUGGUGUGGAUGAGUGGCGAACGGGUGAGUAAUACGUGAGUAACCUGCCCUUGACUCUGGGAUAAGCCCGGGAAACUGGGUCUAAUACUGGAUGCUACAUGUCACCGCAUGGUGGUGUGUGGAAAGGGUUUACUGGUCUUGGAUGGGCUCACGGCCUAUCAGCUUGUUGGUGAGGUAAUGGCUCACCAAGGCGACGACGGGUAGCCGGCCUGAGAGGGUGACCGGCCACACUGGGACUGAGACACGGCCCAGACUCCUACGGGAGGCAGCAGUGGGGAAUAUUGCACAAUGGGCGAAAGCCUGAUGCAGCGACGCCGCGUGAGGGAUGACGGCCUUCGGGUUGUAAACCUCUUUCAGCAGGGAAGAAGCCACAAGUGACGGUACCUGCAGAAGAAGCGCCGGCUAACUACGUGCCAGCAGCCGCGGUAAUACGUAGGGCGCAAGCGUUGUCCGGAAUUAUUGGGCGUAAAGAGCUCGUAGGCGGUUUGUCGCGUCUGCUGUGAAAGCCCGGGGCUUAACCCCGGGUGUGCAGUGGGUACGGGCAGACUAGAGUGCAGUAGGGGAGACUGGAAUUCCUGGUGUAGCGGUGGAAUGCGCAGAUAUCAGGAGGAACACCGAUGGCGAAGGCAGGUCUCUGGGCUGUUACUGACGCUGAGGAGCGAAAGCAUGGGGAGCGAACAGGAUUAGAUACCCUGGUAGUCCAUGCCGUAAACGUUGGGCACUAGGUGUGGGGGACAUUCCACGUUUUCCGCGCCGUAGCUAACGCAUUAAGUGCCCCGCCUGGGGAGUACGGCCGCAAGGCUAAAACUCAAAGGAAUUGACGGGGGCCCGCACAAGCGGCGGAGCAUGCGGAUUAAUUCGAUGCAACGCGAAGAACCUUACCAAGGCUUGACAUAUACCGGAUCGUUCCAGAGAUGGUUCUUCCCCUUUGGGGUCGGUAUACAGGUGGUGCAUGGUUGUCGUCAGCUCG